UACGGGGGGAGCAAGCGUUGUUCGGAUUUACUGGCGUAAAGGGCGCGUAGGCGGCCACCGCAAGUCGACUGUGAAAUCUCCGGGCUUAACCCGGAAAGGUCAGCCGAUACUGCGGGGCUAGAGUGCAGAAGGGGCAACUGGAAUUCUCGGUGUAGCGGUGAAAUGCGUAGAGAUCGGGAGGAACACCAGUGGCGAAGGCGGCUCGCUGGGCCGGUCCUGACACUGAGGCGCGAAGGCGUGGGGAGCGAACGGG
rnacentral:rRNA from 1 species